rnacentral:rRNA from 1 species
CGUGAAGAACUUGUCCAUCGGCGGGGGAUAGCCGGCCCAACGGCCGGGUAAUACCGCGUACGCCGUCUGGAGCGCAUGCUCUGGCCGGGAAAGCAGCAAUGCACCGAUGGAGAGCUUCGCGGCCUAUCAGCUUGUUGGCGGGGUAAUGGCCCACCAAGGCAACGACGGGUAGCUGGUCUGAGAGGAUGACCAGCCACAUUGGGACUGAGACACGGCCCAG